GAUGAAGAACGCAGCGAAAUGCGAUAAGUAAUGUGAAUUGCAGAAUUCAGUGAAUCAUCGAAUCUUUGAACGCACAUUGCGCCCGCCAGUAUUCUGGCGGGCAUGCCUGUUCGAGCGUCAUUUCAACCCUCAAGCCCCCGGCUUGUGUUGGGGACCUGCGGCUGCCGCAGGCCCUGAAAAGCAGUGGCGGGCUCGCUGUCACACCGAGCGUAGUAGCAUACAUCUCGCUCUGGGCGUGCUGCGGGUUCCGGCCGUUAAACCACCUUCAUAACCCAAGGUUGACCUCGGAUCAGGUAGGAAGACCCGCUGAACUUAAGCAUAUCAAUAAGCGGAGGA
rnacentral:misc_RNA from 1 species